GGAAUGGGGGCCCAGGGUGGACCGGAGGGUAACCUGACCCCCUGGACCAGGAAUGGGGCCCCAGGGUGGACCGGAGGAUGUUGGAGAGCUGACAGCGGAGCCAUGGUGGGAAGCUGAUGGAGCUGUGGUGGAGGUGCUGCCUGACGAAGCCUGACUCUAAAGAAGCUGAUGACCAACCAGGAACGAGACGAGGACUACGAUGGGACUGCUUAAGUCUUCUGAAGGAGUCCUUGGCUGAGGAGGGCUGAUGGGGGAACCGUACAUCUGGAGGAAGACCAUGGAUCUGCCGGCCAAUAAGGAGUACUGGGAAGUUUGCAUAACUAUCGUUUACAGUAAAUCGGACAUUACAGCAAACCAUAUUUUGCCGCACAAUUUAAACCACUGCUGUGUGACCAGACUAACUCCCAAUGUUUGAUACCAGACAUGGAGGGGUACCCACCGGUGGGUUGCAGACCAUGGCUCUGUGGUGGAGGGGAGCUUACGGAGUUGUGCUGAUGACCACCUCCUGGGAUACACCACUGCUGUUUGUUCCAGACUAGGACUCCGGGAUGGAGGGGAGUGAUGGAGGGAGCCGUGCUCAGGAUCUGCUGGGGGAGGAUGUCCCUCGUGGCGUAAUGGCACCCGUCUCUGAGAUGACUCAGACGACCCACCAGGAUCUGCUCGGAGGACUACGAUGUGACUGCUGAAUUCUCUGGAAGGUGAAGUCCAGCUAGUCAACAUUGUGUUGC
ensembl:lncRNA